rnacentral:ncRNA from 2 species
GGAUGAAUCCUUGGAGAGACUCAAAAUGAGCACCGAAGGAGCAAGCCGAAAGGUGAAACUCUCAGGUAAAAGGACAGGGGACGAGUA